GUCCACUCAGCUAUGUCCCCGUGGAGGUUGUGCGGAGGUAUCCGGUGUUCUUGGGCAGAGCUCAUCGUUCAGCUCAGAGACAGGAGCUGCACAUUCAGACGGUCCUCCAAGUCAACCGCACGCUCUACAUAGGAGCCAGAGAUGACCUGUACAGAGUAGAGCUGGAUAACAUGGC